rnacentral:rRNA from 1 species
GAUGAACGCUGGCGGCGUGCCUAAUACAUGCAAGUCGAGCGAACAGACGAGGAGCUUGCUCCUCUGACGUUAGCGGCGGACGGGUGAGUAACACGUGGACAACCUACCUAUCAGACUGGGAUAACUUCGGGAAACCGGAGCUAAUACCGGAUAAUAUAUUGAACCGCAUGGUUCAAUAGUGAAAGACGGUUUUGCUGUCACUUAUAGAUGGAUCCGCGCCGCAUUAGCUAGUUGGUAAGGUAACGGCUUACCAAGGCAACGAUGCGUAGCCGACCUGAGAGGGUGAUUGGCCACAAUGGAACAGAGACACGGUCCAGACUCCUAAGGGAGGCAGCAGUAGGGAAUCGUACGCAAGGGGCGAAAGCCUGACGGAGCAACGCCGCGUGAGUGAUGAAGGACUUCGGCUCGUAAAACUCUGUUAUUAGGGAAGAAGGAAUGUGUAAGUAACGAUGCACGUCUUGACGGUACCUAAGCAGAAAGGCAAGGCUAAAUACGGC